rnacentral:rRNA from 1 species
UACAGAGGUCCCAAGCGUUGUUCGGAGUUACUGGGCGUAAAGGGUGUGUAGGCGGUUGUUUAAGUUUGGUGUGAAAUCUCCCGGCUCAACCGGGAGGGUGCGCCGAGUACUGAAUGACUCGAGUGCGGGAGAGGAAAGUGGAAUUCCUGGUGUAGCGGUGAAAUGCGUAGAUAUCAGGAGGAACACCGGUGGUGUAGACGGCUUUCUGGACCGUAACUGACGCUGAGACACGAAAGCGUGGGUAGCAAACAGG